rnacentral:lncRNA from 1 species
GAAUCUCACUCUGUCACCCAGGCUGGAGUGCAGUGGUACGAUCUCGGCUCACUGCAAGCUCCGCCUCCCAGGUUCCAGCUAUUCUCCUGCCUCAGCCUCCCGGGUAGCUGGGCCUACAGGCAUGUGCCACCACACCUGGCUAAUUUUUUUGUAUUUUUAGUAGAGAGGGGGUUUCACCAUGUUGGCCAGGCUGGUCUCGAACUCCUGACCUCAUGAUCCACCCACCUCGGCCUCCCAAAAUGCUGGGAUUACAGGCGUGAGCCACUGUUCCCGGCCCUCACCUGGGUAUUUUCUAUCGUGUGAUAUAAAGCCGGUGUCACAGGUUCCCUCUGUGUUAUGAAGUCUUCUGUCCUCCCCCUAACAAGCUCCCGGAAGUGCCCGAGGAGCAGCUGCCACACUGCAGUCAUCUGUCUUCCUCCUCUGAAUUUCUGUAGCCCGCAGGACCAUAACACGUGUCGGCAGCGGGCCAUGUCGGUCAUUAGUUAUCUUUUUAUGGAUAUGUUCUAUCUCUUCAUCUAUGCGACAGGAUCCUGGAGAGCAGGGGUCACAUCUUAUUCAUCUUCGUGUCGCCUUAGCACUCUGCCUGGUGUUCGGGGCAUGGCAGAUAGUCCAUGAAUCUGGGGAGAGAUUGGAUAACUGAUUUACAUGCUUCUGGAGCCACAGAGGUAGACGGUAGCUUGAUGCAACUACAAGAUUACAAAGACAGAGGAAACCUGUCCUCUCCAAGCUAUUUUGAAACGCUUGUAGAUCUGUUGUGGCGUAAAUAAUGCUGCUAGGGUCAAGAUAGAUAUCCUCUUUGCUCCCCAGGCCCAGCUGCUGGCAUGAUUCCAGCUUAUAAAGGCGUGGAGGCCCAAGGAAUCUGGGUCUCAGCUGCACAGUCUCCCUGUGCAAGUCACAGUCAGGCACAGCCCACCUGUAAGGGCAGUGAGGUGCAGAGGGCAGAGGAUGGCAACUUGAGGAAGAGGAAACAGGUAUCUGUCCUCAGUGGCCCCCACCCAGACAAUACGGCAGUGCUCCGUGGCCCCAUGGAUGGAACCGGACGAUGGCUCUCUGCCUUGGCCAAGGCAUCCCAGCACAGGCAACAGGGAGAGAGGAUGGGAUGGAAAAAGAGAGUAGCUCGGAUGCUGAAACGACGUUCCUCCUAGGCUAGUCUUGGUGCAGAAGCCCCGGGGCUCCGGUUUUAGAAUCCCCCAGCAGGCCCUCUUGGGCCAGAGAUUUGUCCCUUUGUCCCUCAUACGUACAAACCUCCCUCAAGAAGGACGAGUGAGUGGUCCAAAGCCGCGCAGCGGAGCCGCGGUUCCCUCUCCUGUAACAUAAGCCGACUGAUACAAGGAUUAAUUGCGCGAGCGACAGAGAGCAUCCGGCGCACGGCGGACAGUCGCUAAAUAAGAAAUUAAUGGGGGAUGGACGAGAAAGCUGGCUGGUUAAGAAGGGGAUGGUAAAGGAGGUCUGGAGGGUGCUGGGUGGAGGUGCUGAAGGAGGAACCGGGCCGAAGGAAGGAAAGCAGACAGAACAGGGCCCGCGAGAAUCGAGCGCAGCAAAACAACGCCAACCUCAAACCAACGCCAGCACCAGGCCAGCAC